CAACCCUCAGGCCCCCAGGGGCCUGGUGUUGGGGACCGGCUCCCCGGGCGCCCGGUCUGACCCGGGCCCGCCCUGCCGCCCCCCAAAUGGAUCGGCGGCCACGCCGCGGCCUCCCCUGCGCAGUAACAUACCACCUCGCAGGCGGCGGCUCGGCGCGGCCACGGCCGUAAAACGCCCAACUUCUCCAGAG
rnacentral:misc_RNA from 1 species